UGGGUUGUGGCUCAGUGGUAGAGUGCUUGCCUCACAUGUAUGAGGCACUGGGUUCGAUUCUCAGCACCACAU
rnacentral:tRNA from 1 species